UACGUAGGCAGCGAGCGUUGUUCGGAGUUACUGGGCGUAAAGGGUGUGUAGGCGGUUGUUUAAGUUUGGCGUGAAAUCUCCCGGCUCAACUGGGAGGGUGCGUCGAAUACUGAAUGACUUGGAGUGCGGGAGAGGAAAGUGGAAUUCCUGGUGUAGCGGUGAAAUGCGUAGAUAUCAGGAGGAACACCGGUGGUGUAGACGGCUUUCUGGACCAUAACUGACGCUGAGACACGGAAGCGUGGGUAGCAAACAGG
rnacentral:rRNA from 1 species